rnacentral:rRNA from 1 species
CCCUUAGAUGUUCUGGGCCGCACACGCGCUACACUGAAGGAGGCAGCGUGUACUCCUGGAUCGAAAGAUUUGGGUAACCCGCGAAUCUCCUUCGUGCUAGGGAUUGAGGUUUGCAAUUAUCCUUCAUGAACGAGGAAUUCCCAGUAAGUGCAAGUCAUAAGCUUGCGCUGACUACGUCCCUGCCCUUUGUACACACUGCCCGUCGCUACUACCGAUUGAAUGAUUUAGUGAGGACUUCGGACUGGGACCGAUGCGGCUUUCGGGCUGCGUCGGUAUUCUGGAAAGAUGUCCAAACUGUAUCAUUUAGAGGAAGUAAAANUCGUANCA